rnacentral:rRNA from 1 species
GGUUUCGCUCUAUAACCCUUUGUGACAUACCUAUAACUGUUGCUUCGGCGGGUAGGGUCUCCGCGACCCUCCCGGCCUCCCGCCUCCGGGCGGGUCGGCGCCCGCCGGAGGAUAACCAAACUCUGAUUUAACGACGUUUCUUCUGAGUGGUACAAGCAAAUAAUCAAAACUUUUAACAACGGAUCUCUUGGUUCUGGCAUCGAUGAAGAACGCAGCGAAAUGCGAUAAGUAAUGUGAAUUGCAGAAUUCAGUGAAUCAUCGAAUCUUUGAACGCACAUUGCGCCCGCCAGCAUUCUGGCGGGCAUGCCUGUUCGAGCGUCAUUUCAACCCUCAAGCUCUGCUUGGUGUUGGGGCCCUACAGCUGAUGUAGGCCCUCAAAGGUAGUGGCGGACCCUCCCGGAGCCUCCUUUGCGUAGUAACUUUACGUCUCGCACUGGGAUCCGGAGGGACUCUUGCCGUAAAACCCCCCAAUUUUCCAAAGGUUGACCUCGGAUCAGGUAGGAAUACCCGCUGAACUUAAGCAUAUCAAUAAGCGGAGGAA